UGCCAGCAUUAAGUUGGGCACUCUAGUGAGACUGCCGGUGACAAACCGGAGGAAGGUGGGGACGACGUCAGAUCAUCAUGCCCCUUAUGACCUGGGCUACACACGUGCUACAAUGGACAGUACAACGAGUUGCGAACUCGCGAGGGUAAGCUAAUCUCUUAAAGCCGUUCUCAGUUCGGACUGCAGGCUGCAACUCGCCUGCACGAAGUCGGAAUCGCUAGUAAUCGCGGAUCAGCA
rnacentral:rRNA from 1 species